UUUUGGAGACAGAUUGAACCUGCAACAAGGAGGAUGGUGCGUGUUGGUACCAGAUCAUGCACUACAGACACAACAGCAGUUCCAGAGAAGGAUGCUGAACCACCUCGUCGGCCGAGCUGAUGCCUUCCACUAAUUGAUGAACUGUUCCUGUUCUUGGUGUACCUGUCACUGGGUCUGAAGGAGAAGGACUUAAGUGAUCGCUUCAACAUUAACCAGUCCACUGUCAGCAGGAUCAUCAGAACAUGGGCUAAUUUUUUGUACACCUUGCUGGGUGCUGUUGGGAUAUGGAUGUCUACUGAUUGUAUUCGAGCCAUGAUGCCAAGUGUGUUUGGCAAAUAUUCUGACACCCAAGCCAUCUUUGACUGUACAGAGGUGAGAUGCCAGACGCCUUCAUCUUUACUUUUGCAGAGUGAAAUGUUUUCCCAGUAUCAAUCGCACACUACCAUGAAAGGAAUGAUUGGUGUGGCACCGCAUGGUACUGUUACUUUUGUGUCUUCAUUGUAUUCUGGCUCUAUCAGUGACAAACAAUUGUUUAGACAGUCUGGCAUUAUCCCUCUGCUUGACAAAGACAUGGCUGCGAUGGUGGACAAGGGAUUCAGAAUUGAUGACCUAGGGCCGUGCAAAGUUUACAGACCACCUUUUCUGACAAAAACGUUGCAGCUGUCUCGUGAUGAAGUGCUGGUCACUCAGGACAUUGCAAGGUUAAGGAUACAUGUGGAGAGGGCAAAUAGGUGGAUCAAAGAAAAUAAACUCUUUGACACCACUAUUCCUCUGACCAUUGCUGGCAAUAUCAACCAGCUCUUUGCUGUAGCCUGCCUACUAACAAAUUAUCAAAACAAGUCACUGGUGAAAGCUUGGGCCAAAUAAAUAUCAGUGUUUACAGUCGGCCUCUGGAUAAAUGAAGACAGAAUGGUCUUAGCAAGAAAUGCAUGUUUUUAGUGGUUUAAAUGAUCAAAGUGCCAACUGUUUUCAGUAACUGUCCCUCUGUCUUGUGCAUUACAGUAUAUGAAAUCAAGAAAACCUUUGUACAGUCAUA